UUCCAGACUCCUACGGGAGGCAGCAGUGGGGGAUAUUGCACAAUGGGGGGAACCCUGAUGCAGCGACGCCGCGUGGGUGAAGGAGUAUUUCGGUAUGUAAAGCCCUAUCGGCAGGGAAGAAGCAAGACGGUACCUGACUAAGAAGCCCCGGCUAACUACGUGCCAGCAGCCGCGGUAAUACGUAGGGGGCGAGCGUUAUCCGGAUUCACUGGGUGUAAAGGGAGCGCAGGCGGCCUUGCAAGUCUGAUGUGAAAGGCCGGGGCCCAACCCCGGGACUGCAUUGGAAACUGCGAGGCUGGAGUGUCGGAGAGGCAGGCGGAAUUCCUAGUGUAGCGGUGAAAUGCGUAGAUAUUAGGAGGAACACCAGUGGCGAAGGCGGCCUGCUGGACGAUGACUGACGCUGAGGCUCGAAAGCGUGGGGAGCAAACAGGAUUAGAUACCCGAGUAG
rnacentral:rRNA from 1 species